rnacentral:rRNA from 1 species
UGAUGGGCGUCGACCGGCGCACGGGUGAGUAACGCGUAUCCAACCUGCCCACCACUUGAGGAUAACCUUUGCGAAAGUAAGACUAAUACCCAUGAUAUCUCUAGAAGACAUCUGAAAGGGAUUAAAGAUUUAUCGGUGAUGGAUGGGGAUGCGUCUGAUUAGCUUGUUGGCGGGGUAACGGCCCACCAAGGCGACGAUCAGUAGGGGUUCUGAGAGGAAGGUCCCCCACAUUGGAACUGAGACACGGUCCAAACUCCUACGGGAGGCAGCAGUGAGGAAUAUUGGUCAAUGGGCGAGAGCCUGAACCAGCCAAGUAGCGUGCAGGAUGACGGCCCUAUGGGUUGUAAACUGCUUUUAUAAGGGAAUAAAGUGAGUCUCGUGAGACUUUUUGCAUGUACCUUAUGAAUAAGGACCGGCUAAUUCCGUGCCAGCAGCCGCGGUAAUACGGAAGGUCCGGGCGUUAUCCGGAUUUAUUGGGUUUAAAGGGAGCGUAGGCCGGAGAUUAAGCGUGUUGUGAAAUGUAGACGCUCAACGUCUGCACUGCAGCGCGAACUGGUUUCCUUGAGUACGCACAAAGUGGGCGGAAUUCGUGGUGUAGCGGUGAAAUGUCUUAGAUAUCACGAAGAACUCCGAUUGCGAAGGCAGCUCACUGGAGCGCAACUGACGCUGAAGCUCGAAAGUGCGGGUAUCGAACAGGAUUAGAUACCCUGGUAGUCCGCACGGUAAACGAUGGAUGCCCGCUGUUGGUCUGAAUAGGUCAGCGGCCAAGCGAAAGCAUUAAGCAUCCCACCUGGG